rnacentral:ncRNA from 1 species
UAAAAAUUUUUGUAGUUUGGAAAAUUUAUUUAAAGUUUAUUUUACAUAUAAAUUUUAGUGUUAAUAUUAAUUUAUUUUAAUAAUAAGUUAAUUUUUCUUUUAGUAAUUAAUAUUAAAAUAUUUAAGAAAUUAAUAUUUAGUAAUAUUUAAAUUAAUAACAAAUUUUGUGCCAGCAGUUGCGGUUAAACAAAGAUUAAAUUAAAUUUUAUUAGUUAAUUAAUUAAUAAUUUAUAGUGUAUAAUAUAAAUUUUAAAUUAUUAGGUGAAAUUUUAAUUUAAUAAAAUAUUAUUUUAAUUUUAUGAAUUAAUAAAUUUUUUUAAAAACUAGGAUUAGAUACCCUAUUAUUAAAAUUUUAAAUUAAAAUACUAAAAUAGUAGUUAAUUAUUUAUUGAAACUUAAACAAUUUGGCGGUAUUUUAGUUCAUUUAGAGGAAUCUGUUUAAUAAUUGAUAAUCCACGAAUAAAUUUACUUAGUUUAUAAUUUUGUAUAUCGUUGUUAAAAAAAUAUUUUUUAAUAAUAAUAAUAUUUAAAAAUUAAUAAAAAAAAAUUAAAUCAGAUCAAGAUGCAGAUUAUAAUUAAGAAUAUAAUGGAUUACAAUAAAUUUAUUUAAAUGAAUAUUAAUUUGAAAUAAUUAAUUGAAAUUGGAUUUAAAUGUAAUUUUAUUUAAUUUAAUAAAAUGAUUGAAAAUUGAAAUAUGUACAUAUUGCCCGUCGCUUUCAUAUAUUAAAAAAUUGAAAUAAGUCGUAACAAAGUAGAGGUACUGGAAAGUGUUUCUAGAAAGAC